UGUGUGUGUGUGUGUGUGGUGUGUGUGUGUGUGUGUGUGUGUGUGUGCGCGCGUGUGCAUGUGUGUAAUAAAAUUUCUUUGAGUCAUAAGAUUCUAAACUGGGUCCACUGAUAGCAACAGUCUGUAAAUUAGUAACUGUAUAGGUCUGGAGGGUUGAGCUUGACUGAGUUCUCACAGAGGAGUGAUUCUCCUCUAAAAUUUAUCUUGGUGAAUCAAUUUAAUGGGAAUAUGCUAAAUGCCCCCCAGAGACUCACUUUUAAUGAAUAACAUAUAUGGUAAGAGCAUUAAGAGCUUUUAAUAUAAUUCUGAAAUGUAGUGAAAAUUUUAAUAUGAAUAUAUGAAGUAUUUUAUCUAAAGUUGUACAAAUGUGUGUGUGUGUGUGUGUGUGUGUGUGUGUGUGUGAGUGUGUGUGUGUAUGAAUGUGUGUGUGAGUAUUCAUCUUUCAAAAAACUAGAAAAUGAUCUAGGAUAUAAGAAUUCUGAGGAUAUAAGAAUUCUCUAAUAUGCAGGUCCUGGCUUGAAUUUACAAUAAUACUAAGCAGCACUUCUUGGAGCAGUGUUCGAGAAUGGAAAUGUACAAGAUUGGUGUAAAACAGUUCAACAAGUCAGAUGGCAGAGCAACUAACAAAGCUGGAAUAUAGUGUCCAAAGACUCAGGGGUCUACUGGAAGACAAACGAGAUACAGAUUUGGAGUUUUCUAUACUGAUGUCUCCAGAAGAGAAUUAGCCACCAAGAUGUCUCCUGAUUAAGGAUUAUAUCACCUGCACGCUUGUCCCUUGGUCAGCCUCUGAUUGGACAGAUUUCACUAUGAAUGAGUAGUGAGAAAAACACAAAUUGUGCCUCCUGAAAUUCAAAUGACUGUUGUCCAGACCAACGGUAAGGAGAAGAAGCAGACAAACAAGGAGCCAAGCUUUAGAAGAGGCUUCAUACAAGGUUGUUGCUGUCCUAGUCUGCUUUUUGUUUCUUUUUGGUUGUUGUUGUUUUUGGUGUUUAGUAUGACAGUGUCUAAUAAUCUGCCUGCUAAAGUAGGGUUAGUGAAACUCUAAAGAAAUGAAGGGAGAAAAUGGCAGAAUGAGAAUUCUCUGUAAAGAACAAGAAGGAAUUAUGGUUGGGAUAGGGCCACUAGAAGUUCCUGGGAUUUAUUUUGGAUCUCUUGUCAGUCUGUCUGAGAACUUUGUUUAUUAAUUUUAUGCAUAUAAAUCAAGUUUAUGUAUAUAUGUCUACUUUGAUGUACAUAAAUCACAUUAUAGUUCAGAUCUAAAGCUUAAUCCAAAUAUAAUGUGUGUGUAUGUAUAUAUACAUACAUACAUAUACAUACAUACAUAAAUAUAAAACAUAUGUGUAUAAGUUAUUCAGUGGAUACAAAUUUUUAGCUUUUGUAGGUAAAUGCCAAAUAGAAUGACAGCCAAGUUUAUAUGCUAAGAUUAUGUUUAGUUUUAUAAAACAUUAUCAAACCAUCUGCCAAAGUAUCUGUAUCAUUAGAGGCCCAAUAUCUAUAAAUAUGGGUUGAUAACAAGGCAUUCAGUAUGCUCAGUGCUGUAGAUUCAGGCCAUUCUGAUCAGUAUGCAUUGGUAUCUUGGGCAGUUGUUUUAAUUGCUAUCAUUCUGAUGAUGUGAGGAGAAUCUUUUUAUUUGCCUAUUUGUCAUUCCUCUUUCUACUCUGUUGACAUUGUCUAUGAAGGCCUUUGUCCCACUUGUGAAAUCAGGAUGUUUUUGUUGGGUUAUUGUGCCAUAAAUUGACCAUAAAGAAAUAUAAAGUAACAUGAAGUUCACUGGAGGUUCUUAAGGAGAGAGAGAUAAAUAUUGAGGGACAAGUGAUGGAUACCAUUGAACUCAAUGGAAAAAUAUUAAUUUUCUAUCAUUGACAGCACCAUAGAGCAAUGAGAGACAUGAGUGAAUUGUGCAUCUCAGAAUGACUGUACAUAUAUGUACAGAAUGUACAAAGGAAAAACUUGGAAGGUCUCCAACAUGGGACAUAAUAUUUGAGGAGGUGCUCAUGACCCCAGUUUUGUUAUUAUACAUUGUAUACUUGCAUCUAAAUAUAUUAUUGAUGGAAGCUGUCUCUCUCUUUUAUUAAUGUUUCCUAAUUACACUGCUCUGAAUCUACAGUGUUAUCAUAGUUCUUGUGGAAAUAGUUUUAUUUAAGAAAAUAUUUUAAGUUUGUAUGACUAGUAUUGUGCUAAAAUAGAAUUCGUUUUACCUAUGAACUGUCACAGAUAGAUAAAAUAGCUACUUUACAUGCAAAUAGCCUUUUAAAACCAGAGACUAUUAUAUGCUGAUUCGCAGCAUAGUCUGCCUGAAGUGAGAAAAGGACUAAUAAAUGCUGUGUUGCAAACCAAUAAUUAGAUUCUCAUUGUGGGAUAAAGCACUCACAGGGUUUUCCUUUUGGGCCCCAUAAAUCUGACCAUAUCUUUUCAUUCUAAUGCAAUUAAGUGAUUUAGAGACAUAACUUAACAAUAAAAUAAAUGCCUGGGCCUCAAUGCCCUGCACGUAAAACCUGAGAUUUCAGAGAGAUGACGCGCCACUCAUUUAGGAAGUUGCUCUUAAAUGUAACAGCUUGUAGUUAAGCUAAAAAUUCAGCAUCACUUGGCUCUAUACUCUGGUGCUAUUUGUUAUUUGCUCACCUUAAAGAUUGUUAAUACCAUUGCUCUGUCUCUCUAUCAGCAGUGUGGUGCCUGUGUGCUGGACAAACCAUAUUCAAGUAUGGUUUCUAGACAGGGUAAUUACCAUGCUUGGGAGUAUACGUAAGCCUUCCGAUUGUGUGAAUCCCCAUCUGUAGUCCACAUCAAAUCCAAGGGGAGAGGGAGAGAUGUUGAAAGAGGAGUAAUGAUCACCAAAAUACAUACAGUUGAGGGAAGAGAAAGGUGUUGUAACAUUGUACAGCUCCAUAGGGCAAUGCGAGGCACAAGUGAAUUGUACAUCUCAGGAUGAUCAAAAGGGAGGACUUGAAAAGUCCAUCAUCACAUGACUCAUUAAAACAGAAAUUUGUAGCCUUCCUUCUCACAACUUCUGGGUUGAUCUGAGUAGGCCCUGGAAGUGUUCCUAUCUUCCAAGUUCCCAGGUAGGGCGAGUGCUGCCUUUCUUAGGACCACACAUUGGCAGCCACACUGACUUGGUACUGUAAAACUCCCUGUCUUCAAUACUGUAUGCUUUUUUACAAAACAGGUUAAGAAAAAAUUAGGAGAAUUUGCCAUUGUGCUAAUUCACUAGACCAAGGAUUAAGAAAAGCAUUUCUUCCGUAGGACAUUGUAAUAGAGAUCUUAUGCUAACAUCUGGGGAACAAUAUAUCUAUUAUUAGAAUAUUAAACUGUUGGUGGUCUUAUUUAUGUUUAGGAAAAUGCCAGUUUCACAAAUAAAUCAGAAAACAGAAAUCCUCUCAAAAACGUUGAAGAGUUCAUGACACAAGGUUCUAUCAUCAUUAAUGUGUCAUGCAUAGAUUAUUAUUCUCAGGGUUUUUUGAUCAUUUCCCCCACCCCAAGACUGCUGGCUUAGAGUAACUAAAUUUAAUGCCUAAGUAAUAGUGCCUAGAUCUUCUUUUGUUUUAUAGUAGAUGGGACUUCCAGCAUCCAUACCAAGUCAUUCACUGGCACGUGCACAGUUGUUUGAUAUGGAAACCACUGAUCUCUGGGACAGCAUUUGCACCUUAAUCCAAUGGGGUUGAUCUGAAUUUUCUGAAUUGUCAGUCUUUAGACAUUGAUUUUUUUUUUCUGUCUUCCUUCCUUUCAGUGCCCCGGACAUCCCUCCAUCCCUUUCUCUCCUUGUCUUUCAUUUGAGCUAGUGGUCAAGCCCAGGGUCUUCCUAGUGUUUAAGCACCUAAAGGUACUGAGGGUGAUUGUUGUGUGAAGAGUAGUCUUCAAGAUGCUGAGCAGUUCAGCAGGAAAAAAAAUGAAUGUGUGAUGUGCAUUAGUCAUAUUGGUAGGAGUCGACUUGGUCCAAAAACUGAAUUUAAGAUUCUCACAAACACUGAAAUGAUAACUUUCUCUAUGGGUUUUAAUAGAGUCGUCAUUCUUUAAAUCUGUGAUAUAUUUAGCAGCUUCCUGUGGUAAAAACCAAAGAUGAGGCUGUGCCUGAUUACUGUAAGAGGUAUUCAAUGUUUGUCUUCAUUUGCUUUUGAAGAAGAAAUGGAAGUUGUUUCUUGAUCCUUCCCUGGGCACCAUAAACCAGUACAAAUCCCGCUCCGUGGGCUUUUUUUCUGUGUUCCUGUGAGUUUCUGACCUCAGCUGUCCUGUUUACUUCUAUAUUCCACGUGUCUUAUGCAGCCUGCAAGGCAGCUCUUAGGCACUCAAUAAAUAUUUGCAGAGUAAAUGAAUUGACAUUUUUAAAAGGUCAGAGUUGUAAAAGAGGCUCUUCUUUGAAAGUUUAUAAUUUGGAAAAUAUAAAUUAUGUUGAAAUGGUGUGUGAUCAUUUGAAAGAGCAUUCCAGAAAAACAAAACAAAUCCUCAGUAGGUGCAUGAGUGGCUACAGAAGACACAGAAUUGCAUUUCCUUGGGUUUCUAUGCACUUUCAUUUGUUAAGGAGGAAAGGUCUUCCUAAAUCCUUUAAUUUAAUGUUUUUGAAAUGUUUCUACUAAGGAACUCAUUGAAGUAGAUGUUAUUUUGGUGUUCUGGGAAUGGUUGCUUUUAAUUCAGGACACUGUCUCACGGAACUACAUAGGAUAUCAUUAUUAUAUAGUGCCAGUCUAUUAAAUGUAUAUUCAGGGUUGUCAUGAAAUAAGAUAUGUGAAAAUAUUAUGAGAUAUUUUCAUCUCAAUGAGAAAAUUAAAGGUACUUUCAAGUAAGCUAAAGCUCAUCAGGGUCUGGCAAAGAUCGGAAACGCUUUUGGCCUGUGCAUUUUGACCUUGUGUUACCACUUUGACCUUGCAAAUACAGGGAGUAAAUGAGUGACCGAAAGUCCUCUCACCAGAAACUACACCUGCCAAUAGUCCUGAGGAAAUAAUUCUGUUGGCAAAGUACAUGAAUAUAAGAUUAUCUGUGAGGACUUUCAUUCCAUUUUUAUAAUCAAAAUAGUCAAAACCUAAUUAUGAAUUAAUGACGGAUAAGCUACCUAAUUUCUGUUGAAGAAGUUCUUUUACUGGUCUGCAGUGUCAAGAUUGUUAAUGACUAUUAC